rnacentral:tRNA from 1 species
AGGGGCGUAGUUCAAUUGGUAGAACGACCGGUCUCCAAAACCGGGUGUUGGGAGUUCGAGCCUCUCCGCCCCUGCCA